rnacentral:rRNA from 1 species
AUUGAACGCUGGCGGCAUGCUUUACACAUGCAAGUCGAACGGCAGCGGGGGCUUCGGCCCGCCGGCGAGUGGCGAACGGGUGAGUAAUGCAUCGGAACGUGCCCAGUCGUGGGGGAUAACACAUCGAAAGAUGUGCUAAUACCGCAUACGUCCUGAGGGAGAAAGCGGGGGAUCUUCGGACCUCGCGCGAUUGGAGCGGCCGAUGUCGGAUUAGCUAGUUGGUGGGGUAAAAGCCCACCAAGGCGACGAUCCGUAGCGGGUCUGAGAGGAUGAUCCGCCACACUGGGACUGAGACACGGCCCAGACUCCUACGGGAGGCAGCAGUGGGGAAUUUUGGACAAUGGGGGCAACCCUGAUCCAGCCAUGCCGCGUGAGUGAAGAAGGCCUCGGUUGUAAGCUCUUCGGACGGAAGAAAUACGCCGCCUCUAACAUAGGCGGUGGAGUGACGGUACCGUAAGAAGAAGCACCGGCUAACUACGUGCCAGCAGCCGC